UUGCGCAUGCUUUUACGAAUGAGUGUACAGUAUAAGUAAUGUCAAAUAUAACUUGAUGAUCUAUUAUUAUUAUAAAAAACAGUAUAUACAAAAUUGAAGUCUUAAUAAAAGUAUUAAUAUUAAUAAAGUGUUAAUAAUUUUUUUAUAUUUAAAAUAGUAAAAUAAAUUAUAUAAUUAAAAAAUUAAAUAUUUAAUACUUAACAUAAAGGUUACAUUGAUUUUUUAUAUUUUCACAUUAUUUCAGUUAUUUAAUCGUUUUGUCAAUAAUAAAAAUUUUAUUUGUCUGAUUUAAGAUUUUAAAUAAAAAAUGGUAUGUGUACCAUGUGUAGCUAUACCAAUAUUUCUCAUUAUAUGGAGAUUUUUGAUACAACCAUUAUUUAUAAAAUGGUGGCAGUUUAGAAACAAACAAAAAGAAUUAAUAAAUAAUGAACAACAACAAUUGGUGAAAGAAUGUAAAAAUGGAGUUUGUACAUUAUCAUGGUCAAAAAAAGAAAAUAAAAAAUUUGAUUAAAAAGCUUUAAAAUUCAUAAAAACCAUUUUUGUUUAAUAGUUUAUUGCAUAAUCAAUUAAAUUUUAUAUUUCAAUUUACAAUUUUUUAAAUAAUUAAUAUUUUAUUUCAUGCAAAUUGUUUAUUAUUAAUGUAUGUCAAUGAUAUGUUGUGUAUUAUCUACAAUAAAUAUAAAACAUAUGUAAAUUCAUACAUUA